rnacentral:miRNA from 1 species
GGCCAGGCUGACCGGAAGGGUUUCCUUCCGUUCAAUGAGGUAGAUGUACCUCAUCAAUCAGAAGGGUUUCCUUCCGGUUGAUGAGGUACAUGUACCUCGUUGACCGGAAGGAACCCCUUCCGGUCAACGAGGGA